rnacentral:lncRNA from 1 species
AUAUAUAUAACCAAAGUUGGUUGGUGUAAGUGGUUCGUCACUCUCACUCCUUAAAAGAGGUCAGGGGAUCAAGUCCUGCUCUCAUAUGGAGUCACCACUUUGGCCAGCACUUUACCCCUUUAUGGGCCGACCCGGUGCGAGCAGGGAUUAGUCUGAGUUGUGGUACGGGCUUAAAAGUACCUCCCACAAUUGGGGCCCACUCAUGACCACCUCGUGGUUUAAACCAAAAAAAGAAAAAAUAUAAUAUAUAUAUUUAUGAAUGUGUAAAUA